UACGUAGGGUGCGAGCGUUGUCCGGAAGUAUUGGGCGUAAAGGGCUCGUAGGCGGUUUGUCGCGUCGGGAGUGAAAAUCCAGGGCUUAACUCUGGACUGGCUUCCGAUACGGGCAGACUAGAGGUAUGCAGGGGAGAACGGAAUUCCUGGUGUAGCGGUGAAAUGCGCAGAUAUCAGGAGGAACACCGGUGGCGAAGGCGGUUCUCUGGGCAUUACCUGACGCUGAGGAGCGAAAGUGUGGGGAGCGAACAGG
rnacentral:rRNA from 1 species